UGAAACGCAGCGAGGAAGAAGCGCCGCGAUUUUUUAUUUAUUUAUUUGCGCGCGCGUGUUUAUUUAUUUGUUUUUGAAAUGCUCUUAAAAGACGCUGAUGGGUAACGCCGUCUUGGCAGAGGUUGCCGGCACAGGUGUGCGUCGUUAUCUUAAUUAAGAUCCGGAGAAAACGUCAUCUUUCAGCAUGAAUUAUGAAGGGAGAUGCACGAGGAGAUCAUUUCAGCCUGUUUUGUUUUUUUUUUCCUUCUUCCAUAUGCAGGGAGAAGGGAGGUGAUUUCCCAGCCCUUUUCUGGUAUUUCUGUGUCACAGUUCCUCACCUACAGACUCGUGCUGGAUGAUCUGUUUCCCCCAUAGUUUGGGAACGCAUUGCCUGGAGGCCCCGGGAAAAGCCCUUGUGUCCGAGGCUGCCCCUGUGAGCCGUAUCGGAGGACUUCGGGCUGCGGGAGAAAUUGACAACUAGGAGUGUUUUAUGUCAUGCAUUUGAAGAUGAGCUCAGUGAGACUGGUUUAAGCAGUGCAGAAGUUCGUGGAUGGAAGAAGAGUCCUUGUUUCAGAACACCUAAACGUGAAGAUUUUAUAAACGCCGUUAGGAGAGCUGGCUGCAGGAGGAAUGGAUCUCGUCUGUCUGCUGUGAUUCUUGACCCACCUAAUUGGCUAAUGGCCACGAGCAAUAACAGCGUGGCUCAGGGGAGCGGCGCUGGGGCAGAGAAGCACUGUGCUGCACCAAAGGCAUUGCGUGUGGACCAUAUGCUCUGUCCUUGCAAUGCUUGGCAUGAAAAAAGAAGCAAGUUGCUGUCCGAAAGGCAGUGA
rnacentral:lncRNA from 1 species